rnacentral:rRNA from 1 species
GAUGAACGCUGGCGGCGUGCCUAAUACAUGCAAGUCGAGCGAACGGACGAGAAGCUUGCUUCUCUGAUGUUAGCGGCGGACGGGUGAGUAACACGUGGAUAACCUACCUAUAAGACUGGGAUAACUUCGGGAAACCGGAGCUAAUACCGGAUGACAUUUUGAACCGCAUGGUUCAAAAGUGAAAGACGGUCUUGCUGUCACUUAUAGAUGGAUCCGCGCUGCAUUAGCUAGUUGGUAAGGUAACGGCUUACCAAGGCAACGAUGCAUAGCCGACCCGAGAGGGUGAUCGGCCACACUGGAACUGAGACACGGUCCAGACUCCUACGGGAGGCAGCAGUAGGGAAUCUUCCGCAAUGGGCGAAAGCCUGACGGAGCAACGCCGCGUGAGUGAUGAAGGUCUUCGGAUCGUAAAACUCUGUUAUUAGGGAAGAACAUAUGUGUAAGUAACUGUGCACAUCUUGACGGUACCUAAUCAGAAAGCCACGGCUAACUACGUG